rnacentral:rRNA from 1 species
CUUCCUACGGGGCGCAGCAGUGAGGAAUAUUGGUCAAUGGGCGGGAGCCUGAACCAGCCAAGUCGCGUGAGGGAAGACGGUCCUACGGAUUGUAAACCUCUUUUGCCGGGGAGCAACGGGGUCCUUGCGAGGGCCCAAUGAGAGUACCCGGAGAAAAAGCAUCGGCUAACUCCGUGCCAGCAGCCGCGGUAAUACGGAGGAUGCGAGCGUUAUCCGGAUUUACUGGGUGUAAAGGGAGCGUAGACGGCAGUGCAAGUCUGAAGUGAAAGCCCCGGGCUUAACCCGGGAAUUGCUUUGGAAACUGU